rnacentral:lncRNA from 1 species
UCGCUGUUUCUGGAUGCCUGGUUCAGCGCUGUGGGUUAUGCACCCCAGCUCAUGCCACCACCGUUGCCUCCCCUCGAACAGCAUGAAUCCUUCGUUCGGCAGCACAUUCGGGUCACAAUUUUGACGCCGCCGGGAUAAUUAUAGUUUGUGCGAGUGUGUGAGUGAGUGAGUGCGAGAGAGAGAGAUUGAGCAGGUGAUGGGGGAAAUCAGAUCAGAGCCUUGUGUUUAAAUAUCAGAGCUCCAGUUGCGUGAAGGCUCCGUGCAUGCCUGGCCAGUGCAGUCCAGCAAAGAAUACGAGAUUCAACUAUAUAUAUAUAGAAUGAAAAGCGAUAUUCUGUUGCAGCGUUUGACUAGUUGUUUCACAAGGAGUUUGUUUCCAGUGAACGUUGGAAUGAGGUCUAAGAAUAGACAAAUUUAUUUGUUUUUGUUUGUAUAUUUUUGGUAGUUUGUAUUUUUUAGAAAAUAAUUUCAUUGGCAACACCAUCAACUUCGACAGUGGCUGUGAUUGGCGAGGAUGUCUGGUGAGGAAAGUCAAGGCAAGGAUAGCAUGCCACUCACCGGCACCCCCAGUUGAUUGAAAGGGGGGUUGAUGAACUUUGAAACUCAGCGGAAGCUGUGUAAGUUAUUCUGUGGUUUCUUUUUUAGGAACGGUUGAAUUGCCAAAUGGGUGGUGCUGCUACACAUGUUUACGGUUCCUGUGAUACUUUAAUGGAUCUCGGGUUUCUGUCUUGAGAACCGUGAGCUGGGUUUAGUCCCAAUUUCAAACCUCGGCAC